GCCCCUGCUCGCGCUGCAGCCCGUGGAAGGGUUGCGUCCAGUGUAUCCUCCAGAUCUUGCGGUAGUCCUCUCGUAUCUGUGCGCGCGCGGGAGGGACAGCGGCGGCGACGGCCGGAGGUGUACGGAUCUUGCUCUGUCACCCAGGCCAGAGUGUAGUGGUGCGAUCACAGCUCACUGCAGCCUCGACCUCCCAGGCUCAAGUAAUCCUCCCACCUCAGCCUCCCAGUUGCUUCCUCUACUGAAGUCUUGAAACCCCUGAAAGUCAUCCCUGAGGGUUGGAGUUAACUUCUUCUACACUCCUGUUAAUGUUGAUAUUUUGGCCUCCUCCCAUGAAUCACAAAUGUUCUUAAUGGCAUCUAGAAUGGUGAGUCCUUUCCAAAAGAUUUUCAAUUUACUUUUCCUGGAUCCAUCAGAGGAAUCACUGUCUAUCUAUGGCAGCUAUAGACUUAUGAAAUGUAUUUCCUAAAUAAUAAGACCUGAAAGUCAAUAUUACUCCUUGAUCCAUGGGCUGCAGAAUGGAUGUUGUGUUAGCAGGCAUGAAAACAGCAUGAAUCUCCUUGUACAUCUCCAUCAGAGCUCUUAGGUGAUCAGGUACAUUUUUCAAUGAGCAGUAAUAUUUUGAAUGGAAUCUUUUUAUCUGAGUAGCAGGUCUCAACAGUAGGUUUAAAAUAUUUAAUAAACUAGGCUAUAAACAGAUUUGCUAUCAUCCAGGCUUUGUUGCUCUGUUUAUAGAGCACAGAGUAUAUUUAGCAUAGUUCUUAAGGAUCCUAGGAUUUUCAGAAUGGUAAAAUGAACACUGGCUUCAAGUUAAAAGUCACCAGUUUCGUGAGCCUCUAACAAGAGAGUCAUCCUGUCUUUUGAUGCUUUGAAGCCAGGUAUUGACUUCUUUCUAGCUAUAAAAGUACUAGAUGGCAUAUUCUCCCCGUAUAAGACUGUUUCAGCUACACUGAAAAUCUGUUGGCCAGGUGCAAUGGCUCGCGCCUGUAAUCCCAGCACUUUGGGAGGCUGAGACGGGCGGAUCACCUGAGGUUGGCAGUUCGGGACUAGCCUAACCAACAUGGAGAAACCCCGCCUCUACUAAAAAUACAAAAUUAGCUGGGCAUAGUGGCGCAUGCCUAUAACCCCAGCUACUCGAGAGGCUGAGGCAGGAGAAUCACUUGAACCCAGGAGGCAGAGGUUGCGGUGAGCUGAGAUCAUGCCAUUGCACUCCAGCCUGGGUGACAGAGCAAGACUCCGUCUUAAAAAAAAAAAAAA
rnacentral:lncRNA from 1 species